rnacentral:misc_RNA from 1 species
ACGCAUCCGUGCACCGACGUCGUCCACGGGCCCUCGCAACGCCGCUCACAGUCCCGCUCCCGCCCGCCAGACUUCCUUCACGACAAAAAGGUACCCCGCCGCCGCAUGCCCGCCAGCGCGCGCAAGAGGGACAAGGUGCCAGCGCCGGGCGCCAAGGGGGAGAAGUCCACCUGCUUCUACACAAAGAAGAAGUGGAAGUCGGUGCUGCACGAGACGCGGGUCGACCUCGCCGGCCGCGCCCUUGGGCCACGUGGCGCCCUCAUUGUUGGUACAGCCCUCUUCAAGAACACGUACGUCACCUCGCUCGAUCUGAGUCAGAACGAACUAGGCGAUGGCGGCGCGAUCGCGAUCGCCAGCAUGCUGCGCUUCAACACCCAGUUACAGCACUUGAACUUGUCGCACAACGACAUGACAGACAUCGGCGGCAUCGCACUGGCGAGUGCGUUCAUCCCGAAUGUGAGUCCGUCUGGCCAGCCCGGUCAGUGGAACCGCACGCUGUUUAGCCUCGUUCUCAUGGGCAACAAGUUCGGCGAUGACACCCUCCUUGCCAUGAGCAACGCCGCGGCCUGCCACCGCGACUUGACCCGCGUGGACCUCUCGUGGAACAACGUUGGACAAAACGGUACGAAGUGCCUCAUGCGCGCCUACCAGCGCAACCCCCUGUGUGUGUACCAACUAGCCGCCAACGCGCUCGGUGACGAGGGCACCGUGUACCUGUGUGAGGCGUUGCAGCGCUACGGCGGCAAGAGCCAGACAACGCUGAACCUUUACCGGAACUCCAUCAGCUGCCCCGGCACCGAAGCAGUUGGCCGACUUCUGGCGAAUUCCUCCAUCGUGCAGGACGUGAGCCUCGCCGGCAACACGAUCGGCUUCAAGGGUGUGCAGGCACUGCAGCGUCAGUUGACGGACGCCGCCGUGAUCGCCAGCUGCUCCUUGCGCAUCCUCAACCUCAGCGACAACUGGAUUGGCGAUGAGGGGGCGGCGAGCGUAGCGGCCAUCAUCAAGGCCAAUAUCCCCUCGCUCGAGCGCCUCGACGUGUCCGAAAACAAAAUCACCGACGUCGGCGCCACCGCCAUUGUCACGGCGGCGCUGCAGAACACGCAUCUGCUUCUACUGAACUGCGAGGCAAACUGCCUUGGCUCCAAGGCAGUAGACGCGGUGGUACGGCUUAUCCAUGAGACGCGCACGCUCACAUCGCUCAACGUGGCCGGCUGCGUCAACUCGGCUGAUCACCGGCGCACGCUGGCCAUCGCGGUGGGUGAGACCGACGGGCUGCACGUUGAGCUAGGCCCGAAUCCGGAAGAUGCGGCUGGUGCCGAGGGCACGGUCCUAAUAGAGAAGAUCACGGAGCACCUGCAGAUGUUGGCGGACCAAGAGGCGCAGCGGCAGAAGGAAAGCAUGGCUGCGAAGAAGCUGAAAAAGGCCCGCUAGCGGUGGAGGAGGGCGAGGAGGUCGGUGUCGGUGUCGGUGUUGCCGAUGGGCAGCAGCAGCAGCCGAGAGAGACGGUCGAUCCCCCUCCCCUUCUUGCCAUGCUGCGGAGGAGGAUGCGGAUGGGCAUGACGCCCCCCUCCUUCUCCUCCUCCCUUGCCGUUUCUUUUUAUGUCCCCUGUCACCGUUCUGUUCCCUUUGAGAUGUAAGCUACACUUCAACCUGAAAAGAAGGGGCACAAGAGGCGAGUGCCGCGCCCGCACCGUGCACCAGCGACCACCUCCUCCUCUACUGCUAGCGCUCUCCUUCUAUCUGUGUGUGUGUGUGUGUGUGAGGAUGUGCGAUGUAUGGCCCCACCCCAAGAGACAAUGGCGGAUUGGGAGGGAGGGAGGGGAGGCCGGCGGUAUGUCUAGUGCUGAUGUUUCAAAAUGGCGCGAAAGAGGGCGGACUGGGCGAGACAGAGCGCGCGUCUGCUCGCACUGUUUCGGUUCUGUUUCAGGUAUUUGGCAAGAAGGAGGAAAGUGAAGCCACGCAUUGCCAUCAUCAUCUUCGUGCCACGCUCAAGGGCGCGCAGGCAAGGCAGCGUGCGCGUGCGCGCAAGAGGCGCUUGUGUGGUUCACUGCUGCAGCCAUCUGCGUUCCGAGCCGUCUACAGCAUCAUCAUCGGUGUCGUGUUCUUGGAAUGAUGUCUCCGUUUUCAUCCUCCUCUCUCUCCGCCGUUUCCGUGUGGUCGACUUCGUGCUGCGAGAGCGGAAG